rnacentral:lncRNA from 1 species
AUAUGACUUUAUAUGAAGGUUCAGUAUAAAUAUUGCUGUGUAACUUCCUCCUCACUCUCAGUAGAAGCAGAUAGCUCUAGUGUUUAAGGCUCUAGUUAUCCUGGUGCAAUGAAGCAAAAAUCAACCCUACAUUUGACUGAAAUUUUACUUCUUUUCAUCUUUAUACAAGGAGUCUUGACAUAUGAGGUCAAACGCGCAAAGCGUUCUGGAGGUUGGGUAUAUCAUGAUGGGAAAUGGAAGUAUGAGUCACGGGUGGAAAAGGAUCUGUCAGGAUCUGGAUUUGGAUCCGGUGAUGGCACAGAGAAUCCUUUCAACUCAAGAGAUGAAAUACUGAAGCAGAAUGAGCCAAGACGACUCGUGGAAUAGCCAGGAUGACUAGAAGAACUUGUGGACCAAUUUUCUCACUUCCUGGCUCUAUUAAACAUUUUUGUUUUUAUCUUGGAAUCAUUGUUGGCCGUACUAUUAAAUUUCACAGCAUUAAGAAAUGAUUUCAAAUGUUAGAUGCAAACAAAAAAACUAUCCAAUAAAAAAAAAAAUCAAAUGAUAUUCAUUGUUUCAUUUCUCUUGUCUUCAAAUUCAGAGAAUAAAAUGAAAUUUAAAAACAAUGUCAUUUUUCUGAAGGCUAUUUGAAUAAUUAUACAGGAAAUAUUAAGCAUACACAUGCAUCUGAGAUUAUUAGCAGAAACAGAUUUGAAUACAAUGCACAAUAAAUAUAACUAUACCUUUAUACAUUAAGAUCACAGUCGUACAUGUUUAUCAUGUAUUAUCUUGCUCGGGUGACAGUGUAUGCGUGGAAAUAAUAGACUUUCACUACCUUUAGUCCAUUCACUCCAAACUUUCUCCCAUCUUUUCAUGGACCAACAUCUACUGUAGACUAUUGGAGAAUUUGAGUGUUUACAAGAGUAUAAUAAGGGCUGCAGGCUGGUCAGUGCAAAUUCUCUGGCUUUUUACUAUAUGUCAGUUAGCAUAGUUUUAAUUUAAUGUUUGUUUAACCAACAUUUAAGUCAUUAUCUUAACUGUCUCAGAAUACAUGCUCUCAAGCAAUCAGAUGUUUUAUACUGAAACCCACUCUGUACUGUACCUCUACUGUAAAACCAACUCCUACUGAGUACUGUCUUUAACCAUCCCUAUAAAUAAUUGUUAUAUCAGCAGUCUUAUUACUAUAAGUUUAAUCUUAUAAAUAAUAUCAAGUCUUCACCUUUAUCAAAUUCUUUAUCAUACACUUUCAUUCUUGAUCAUAUACUGCCCCUUUUUGGCUCAGAAUGUAAA